rnacentral:rRNA from 1 species
UACGAAGGGGGCUAGCGUUGCUCGGAAUCACUGGGCGUAAAGCGCACGUAGGCGGAUCUUUAAGUCAGGGGUGAAAUCCUGGAGCUCAACUCCAGAACUGCCUUUGAUACUGGGGAUCUCGAGUACGGAAGAGGUGAGUGGAACUCCGAGUGUAGAGGUGAAAUUCGUAGAUAUUCGGAAGAACACCAGUGGCGAAGGCGGCUCACUGGUCCGGUACUGACGCUGAGGCGCGAAAGCGUGGGGAGCAAACAGG